GUAGAGUAUACGAAUGUGAGAGUAUGUGAGUGUGUGUGUAUGUGCGUGUGUAUACAGUGCCUCCCCAAAGGCCCCACUCCACCAGCAGCCUGCCCAUCCAUCAUCAUAACGGGCGUGGAAGCCCAUUCCAUUCCUGCUGAGCCCUGCCAAAAAAUCAGUGAGGGAGAGCCAGGAAGAAUGUGCGCCGGGAGGAGCAGGCAGCGUGUUGCAGUCCGAACGGCCCACUGUGAUGAUUUGGGUGACGAUGGGGCCAGCGGUGCCACCGAGACUCUGAUGGCUCCUUAGGAGUUGUUAUAGUCACAAUAAUAGAUUGUUCUCUGUUUCUCAAUGCUAGGUCCAUUCUUUAAAAUUUUUUUUUCUUCCUUUAGAGGCAGAGGAGGAGAUGGAGAGUUGGUGAGAUUAGGAUUUUAGGUGUCUUCAAGUCAAUUCUGAAACUCUAAGAAGAAAUAGAGAAUUCUGAGUGAUUUUAAUUUUUCUGCAGUCAUGGGGGGAAUUUCCAUAGGGAAGAUGCUUUCCAAGGAAGCUCAUGUGUCUUGGACUCUGAAAGAGCCCUUCUCAGGCCUGGUUCUGGCAUUUGUCCAUGGUUUGGGGAAGGUGGGCCCUGGGUGGGGGCAAGGAUGUGACUUUUGGAGCAAGGUGUGGGCACUGUAGGCUCAAUGUGGUUCUGCUGGGGUGGUGUUCUUGUGGCUGAAGAAUGUGUCCCCUGAGUUGGCACAGUGAUGCAUGACAUAGGAUGGACCAAACGGAAGGCAUUUCCUGUCACUGAAAUUAAAGGAGCAGGGGGGUGGAGGGGAAGCAAUGGAGCAGAAGAGGAGUUUGGUUCUAGGAGCAUUCAGAAGUCUUGGGAGUGUUGGGUUAGGUGACACAGUUCCUGUCUGUCCUGGGGCUCUAUGUACUCCCCCUGGAGAUUUCACUGGAACUGGUGAUGUCCCGUGUUUAGGGCUAUCUCUGGAAAAUAAAUAUGAACAUAAAAUAAUAAGAGGCUGAACCUACGAAGGAAAUGAACUAAAGUCAAUACACAUUUUUCCCAGACACCAUACAAGGUCCUGCAAAUCACUGGGAAAUGAAUGGGACACAAGACAUCACACUCCAUGCGCUGACAGACAUAUCAGAGUGCGGGAGACAGAGUACCCAAUUCCAACCCCAACAUCCUGCCCACAAGCUGUGGGAACCUGAGUAAGUUACUCACCUCUUUGUGCCUCUACUUCCUCAUCUCUACCUGGGGGAGGCAGUCAACGUACCUAAUGUUAUUUUCAUAGUAAGGCUGUUGCACAGAAUAGAUGAGUUCGUAGGUAUGAAGCCCUUAGCUUUGUAUCUAGCACAUUCUAAAUGAUAAAAAUAUUGGCAUUACUGUCACUAAUGAGGAUAUUGAAGAUCAGUGAAGUGAGGGAAUUCUCCCAACACUGGGAAGAAAGACCACAGCAGGAAGUAAGCUCUGGGAAAGCCCAUGCUGUCUGAUUCUAACAAGAAGGAUGCUGGCGUCCUCCUGCUCCGAGAUGCCAGGAACUGUGGCCUCAAACCUGAGGGACAAUUCUAAACUCCAUCUCUAGACAAAGAGUAGUUGCCAAACCAAAUAAUUCCGCAAAAUACACAUGCCAGUGCAUUUUCCUUUCUUUGUCUUAAUUUUUAUGGAUACAUAAUAGUUUUAUGUAUUUAUGAGGCCCCUGUGAUAGUUUGCUGUGAGCACACAAUGUGUAAUGAUCAACUCUGGGCACCUGGGAUACCAUCACCUCAAACAUUUAUCAUUUCUUUGUAUUGGGAGCAUCCCACAUAUUCUCUUCUAGCUAUUUUGAAAUGUAGAAUAAAUUCUUGUUAACUACAGUUGCCCUGUUGUGCUACUGAACACUAGAUCGUAUUCCUUCUAUCUACCUGUAUGUUUGCACCUAUCAACCAAUCCCUCUUAAUAUCCCCUCCCCACUACCCUUCCCAGCUUCUGGUAACUACCAUUCUACUCUCUUGCUCCAUGAGAUAGUUUUUUAGCUUCCACAUGAGUAAGGACAUGUCAUAUUUGUCUUUCUGUGCCUGGCUUAUUUCACUUAACAUAAUGUCCUCCUGUUCCAUCCAUGUUACUGCAAAGGACAGAAUUCCAUUCUUUUGUAUGGCUGAAUAACAUUUCAUUGUGUAUAUGUACCACAUUUUCUUUAUCCAUUUGUUCAUUGAUGGACACUCAGGUUGAUUCCGUAUCUUGGCUAUUGUGAAGAGUGCUGCAAUAAAUACAGGAGUGAAGAGAUCUCUUCUGUGUGAUUGCUUUUCUUUUGGGUAUAUACCCAGCAGUGGAAUUGCUGGAUCAUAUGGUAAUUCUAUUUUUAGUUUUUUGAGGAACCUUCAUACUGUUUUCCAUAGUGGCUGUACCAAUUUACAUUCCCACCAACAGUGUAUGAAUGUUCCCUGUUCUCCACUUCCUUGCCAGCAUUUGUUAUUUUCAGACUUUUUGAUAAUAGCUGUCUUUUAAAAAACUGAAUUAUAACUACUUCCAUCCGUAUUUUUCGGAAGGAGGGGAAUAAACUUCUUGGACCAAAUCUGAUGAGUCCUGAGAUAUGUGGGGUAGAUGAACAGGAGUCAAUGGUGGGACCUUUUGACUUUUGAGCCCUGGUUGGAGUAUUUUGGGAUGUUAGAGCGUCCUUCUGGAAUUAAGAUGUGCUUAGUAACUGAUGUGUGGUUGCUACUGGAGUGUGUGCAUGUGUGUAGAAUUUAAGAAAUUAUAAUUCAUGCGCCACCUUCAUAUAACAUAUUCAUGUAAAGAUUGGCACUUGGUGAAUCUCCACGACCCUUAUAGCAUCCCUGUAGUUUGUAGGUGUGGUUGUAGAUAUAGGUUGUAGAUUAUGGGUUAUAGGUUGUAGGUAUAUAUGGUAUAGAUUGCAGUUGUAGGUUGCAGGGUAUAAGUUGGAGGUACAGGGUGUAGGUUUUAGUUUGUAGUUAUAUGCUGUAGGUUAUAGCUGUAAAUGGUAGGUAUGGGUUGUAGGCUGUGGGUUGUAGGUAUAGAUUGUAGGCUGGAAACAGAAAGAACAUUGAUCAAACGUUUGUCACUUCUUUGUUUUGGGAACAUCUCAAAUAUUUUCUUUUAGCUAUUUUGAAAUGUAGAGUAAAUUAUUAUUAACUGUAGUCGUUCUGUUGUGCUACUGAACACUAGAUCUUAUUCCUUCCAUCUACCUGUAUUUUUGUGCCUAUUGUAUAGAUAGACCUGGACCUUGAACCCAGAACUUUUGAUGCCCAAAUCCCUGAUCUUCCUGAGUAUAUUAGGUUCCUUCAGGAAAAAUGAGAUGCUUUUCAGUGGUAAUGUUUAUGCUUCGCUAUAAUAAAUACACAUAAACGUGGAUAGAGAAAGGACCUCGUAUCUAGUUUCUUCCUAGGACACCAGUUGGUUAUCGUUUGAUGCAUUUUCUUUAAGCCUGCUUGUACCAAUUUUUUAAAUUAUUUCAACUUCUUUAGCUCUGACUGUACCCUCUGCCAAUUUUGUAUGCUGCCUUCUGCCUCCCAGUUACUAUAACAAACAUCUCCUAUGUAAACCCUUUUUAUGACUACAUUCUACUUGGUAUGGCUGCACCAUAAUUUCUCUAGUGUAGGAUAUUUAGGCUGUUUCUGCUGUUUGGCUAUUAUAAAUAACAUAGCAAUAAUCAUCUCUGAGCUAGAAGUUUUCCUAAUGAUUUUAUCUUUAGGUUUCUGGGAUGAGCAUAGGGCUGGAUGUUUGCCAGGCUAGGGAGAAGCUGGGGAGGAGCCUGGUAACGCCCUGAGGGGGAAGCCUGGCCUGGAGUUACCUGGCUGCCUGGCUCAAGUGUGCCCUUGGCAGGGGCUGCUGGCCUAGAGGCCAGCACCAAGCAGCAUAGUGGGCCAGCUUUGGCAUAGAUGGAGCAAGAGAGGGAAGGGUUCUCCCUCUGUAAUCAGGAGUAGAACAUUCAGGCAUGGAGCUAAGACAAAUGAGUACCUUUUAGAGCUUUGGCUCUAUAGAGACAGUACAGGUGGCCAUGAGGUGGUAAGGAACAGUCACACAUUUAUAGCCUCCCCACAGUUCAUCCUUCUGAUAUUUCUGCCCUGAGUUACCAAUGAGCAACAGGCAGUUCUCUCCCACAAAGCCUAAGCAGGGGGAGUUCAUCCUCCUUUGUUAGGAUUUGAUUUUAUCAGAGGGAUAUUUGGAGGUCAGUGGCUGGAAGAAUAAUGCUGUCAGAGUUUGGUGACUCUUGCCGGGCAGUGAUGGAGGUGGGGGAGGGGCAGAGCCUGGCACACAAAUCUGGGGAAGAGUGGUGGGAUGCGGGAAGAAAGACUGGUCCCUGUACUCAAGGAGAUUAGGAUCCUUAGGGCUUUUACUUCCAACAUUUACUGUUCCUCCUCCCGGGAUGCCUGCCUUCCUCUUGUUUGGCUUGUGUUUGCAAAUGAAGCAGACAAGUUCUAGAGAAGUUAAAUGAUUUGUCCUAAGUCAUGUAAUCAUUGACUAGGGAAGGGAAACUAGACCCGGAGCUCCAGCUUCACGGGUGCCCUUUCUCCUGUGUCAUGCAGCCGCUUCUGUGUGUUGGCUAGUCUGCCCAGUAGACUCUGCUCCUUGGGGCUCUGGUUGUGUCUGACCUUGUUGAAUCCCCUGCAUGUGUAGUAUGACCUUGUUGGGGUGUCUCAACACUGGGCAUGUUAGCAACACUGAGGGAUGAAAGCACUGUCAUGCCCUGGAUGGUCAGCCCUGGUUUGUUGAAUGCACGAGUGUUCAUAUGUCAGAAAUACAUAUGCAUUCACUCUACAAAUAUUUUCAAACAUUUAUUAUGUUCCCAGCAUAAUAGUAGAGCUUCUACUAUUGCAGGGGAGAAAGUCUUCAAUAAAAGUUAUAGAAUAAUUAAUUACAGAUGGUAGAGGAGCUAAGGAAGAGAGUGAUUUCAGGUUGCCAAGAGAACAUACUCAGAGAGGCAUGAUAGCUUUUGGGGACCCUGUCAGUAUCAUCAGGAUAGCCCGGACUCAGAAGUUAGUCUCUCAUAGAGCCAAUAGGAAGGUUUUGGCAAAUCUGGAUUUUUUCACUUGCAUUCUGGUUUUGGUUCUGCUAUUGACUAUCAGGGUUACUUUGAAAAAACCAUUUGCUUCUUUAUGUCUUGCUUGCUUUAUCUGUAAAAUGAAGAGGUUGUAAAAUUCUUCUGUAAAUCAUUUAAUUACCACCCUCUUCCCCCAUGGAAACAAACCUAGAAAAUCCUAACUUUGCUUUAAAAAUAUUCAGUACAUGGAAUAUUUUAGUGUUCAUGUUUUCUCUUUUGAGUGGGGUUUGGCCAUUGGCUGGUUCUUGGAUAAAAUUUGGAGGGAGGUAUUCUCCAGGCUUAAAUGAGUGAAAAAGUCUGGGAAAAAAUAAACCAACCCUACCUCCUUCCCACCCAAGGAGUGUCCUUUGCAUCUGGCAUCGCUGUGUUUUCAUUCGCUGGUCAGUCCCUCAUCUGCUGCCAACCUCUUCCCUUCCUGGCUUGGUCAGAAGGUCCAGAGAGCCCACUGUACUGGCGGGGAGAAUCUGUCCCUUUUGCGCACAUCAUUGGGAACUCAAAGUCAUCUCGUGUUGGAGUCAAAUGACGUGUUAGCACACGCCUGCUUGGGGGAUCCUCCUGCAGUUGGCAUAUUGCGUGACACACGGGGGGAUUCUCAUCGUGCUGGAAUGCAUGGCCAGCCCCUUCUUUCUCCAAGCACAGUUCAGUGCAUUUUCCCCCCAGUUGCUGCUUCUCGUAGGAGAUUAUUUCUGAUUCGUAUUGAGUUGUUACUGGAAAACACUUCAGAGAGAUAAUGAGCUGGGUAGUUUUCCUCUUCAUUUUUCUUUGUUGUUGUUGAAUUCAUAUGGGUAACUGGGCUCUCCACUUACACUUUAUUGAUUCCUGAAUUUAGGGCAUAGCUCUGUAAUUGGCAAUUUCCUCAGUGCCACGUGGGCAGAGAGAAGUACUGUGCCUGGGGCUGCUGACUCUGCAGGAAGCUGUAGGGGCACUUCCUUUUAGCCCUGGACUGACACAGCUGAGUGCCCGUGGGCAAGUCCCUUGUUGCCUCUUUCUUGGCUCUGGUUUUUCCUUGCUGUCUUGUGAGGGGUCAGACCAGAUGACUUUGAGCACCAGCCCUUCCAGUUCUUGAAUUUUCCAGGCUAGGUUGGAAGCCCUUUUCUUUGGUGGGUUUAUGCAUGAAGGGCCGGGUGUUUCUGUGUUCACGGAUGACACUGCUGAUCCCAUGUGCUCUUGUCAUUGUUUUCCUUGGAGGGCUGAGGGAUGUGUGCUGAGUCACGCACAUGCACAGCCGGAGUCCCUUGUGACUAAGCUGUGCAUUUGCAGGAGCGCUGGCAGGGUCGGUGGUACAGCCUCUGAACUGGGACAGCUUGAACCCAGCGUUGCCUGGAGUGGGAAUAAACCUUGACCUUGCUGGCGUGGGUGAGGGGCACCUGCCCAGGGAGCUAACUGGUCUGGACUCAUACAGUGCUCUCCUUCUGUCCAUUUCAGUAUGCUGGCUGUCAGCUUUGUUUAUGCAUAGAUGAAUUACUCUCAUUUCAGAUUAUCGUGGAAAAUCUUGCUGUCAAGUUCUUAGGACAGGAUUAAGUAGAAUAGGUGAUAAAGGUCAUUGGCAUUAUUUACAAUCUCUUGACUUUCAUUCACCCCCAUCUGCUGUAGACAAGCUGGAUGCUUACAAGAGCGGCAAAGACUUGGGACUUAGAAUCAGGCACACCCAAGUUUGAAGCCCCGCGUGGUGCUUUCUGGCUGCGUCACCUUGAACGCUUGCUUCCCCAAGUCUCGGUUUUUCUAAAAUGGUAGGAAACAGCUUUGUUUGGCCUAAGAGGUUUGCUGGUGGAGACUAAGUGAGCUACUGCUGUGUUUUGCCACACCUCAAUGCUGGUGGGAUGCAAGAUGCUUUGAGGAGGGACACAGACGAAUUUCUUAUUAUAGUUGUGUAUUUGAAUACACUUGUGGAAAAAUAGAACUAGUACAUCAGAGCUCGUGAUUUCACAGAUAUUAUUGCCCAGGACAAUGCUAAUUUGAAAAAAUCGAGACAAUUUCAAGUUGAUUUCAAGGAUAAUAUGCACUGAAUAUUAGUGCAGGCAGGCAGGCGGGGCAGAAAUCAGGAAGAUGGGAGAGAAUGACAGAAUUUGGAGUACUACUGAGACCUACACUACAGGUCUCCUAUAGAACAUGUGGUGGGAGCAGAAUAAAUGCAUCUUUCUCUUUGUGUCUGUCCUGGUACAAGGAAUGUUUGGGGCAUUGGUAUAAGAAGCUCCCAGAGAAAAGGUGAUGGUGACUUAGCUUUGUGCACUGCAUCACCCUCACAGGCAACGCUGUCUGCUCUAGGCGUGACUUGCACUAAGUGAAUGUGGACAAGAUGGCCACUUUUUCUAGAUCCUUCUGGGGAAGCUGUUAGUUGUAAUAGUGUUAGAACCUAAGAGCUAGAAGAGACUUUGGAGAUGAUUUACUGCAUUUUAUGUUAGACUUAGACAAUUUUUUUACAAAAGGGAAAAAUUAAAAAGCCCCAGAGAGACCUGGACUUACUCAAAGCCACACAAGUAGUUGAGCACAGUGGCUGAGAUGAAUCAUUUUGUGUCUUUCCCCAAGGAUCUCUCUUUCCUUGUCCCUCUGUCUAUCCUGGUCAAUAGCAUCAUUGUUUGAAGUGAGUUUUUGGAACAGGACCCAGCUGCAUUCGGUGGGUUAGUCCAGCACCACAAGGAUCUGUCCUUUAGCAUUGCCUGUGUCUCUGGCCUUCUCGUGUUAGUUAGAAGAUUGAGGAGGCAACCAUGUAGACACUGCUGGAGGAAGAGGAAACGAAUUUAAAAGUCACAAGUUUUGGCCUCAGAUGCCUGUGGUGUUGAACAUUAUUAGCUUUGUUGUCGGGGCAUGCGCCUGACCUCCCGGAGUCUCAAUUUCCUCCUCUAUAAGGUGGCUUUUACCUCUGCAGGUUUGAAUGAGGUAAGAGGUGGGGAGAGCCUAGUACUUGGCUCCCUUGAAGAAAGUAGCGGAGACUGAAUCCAAGGCCAGGCUGUCCACUCCAAACUGGGAUUAGGAUGUCAUGGUUCUUCAGCCCCUGACUUUCCUGACAAAGGCCCACGUGGGGGCUCUUGGUUGGCCUGGUCACUCUCUGCUUGGGGUGUCCUCAUUCUUUUCCCUGGAGAGGUUCUGGGAUCAGGGGUGAGAAUGGGGUUAAGUUAUCUAGGAAUUGAGAGUCCCUUCUUCAUAACUAAUUUUUCUUUCCUAUCUCAUGACUUCUAGAUAAUAGUCUGUAGUUUUAACUCAUUUGUUAUUUAUAUAAUUUCUCUGUGCUCGGCUCUAAGGGUAUAAGAGUAAAUUAGAUCUGGCCCUUGCAUGGAAGAAGCUUACAGCUGAGGUGGGGAGCUCUGUCUAGCAUGCACAGAACAUGGUGCUUUGACAAAGGGUAGGUGCCGGGGAGUGAGGUGGGAGCCCUGAGGAGGAGAUCUUAACAAGGGAAAGCCUUCUACAGCAGGCAGGGGCUGAGCUGGGUUUGAAGGGCUGAGAGGAGCUAGGCUGGCUGAGGUGGGAGGGUGCUGGGGUGGCAGGGGCUGCACUCCUGGCAGAGGGAAUAGCACAGGAAAGGCCCAGAGGUGAGCUGGGAAACCACAGGCAGAGUGGUGCAGGGGGAAAAAGAGGGGAGGGCAGGAACACAGUGGGGGAACUUAGUGCAUAACAACAAUGCCCUCAACCCUUUUGCCUGGCUCUUCACCACGUGAGAGGACUCAGGGGAGAAGAGUCUGAGUGCUGUGCCCUUUCUGAAUUCUUUUUUUUUAUUAUUAUGGUAAAAUAUACACACUAUAAAAUUGACCAUUGUGAGAUUUUAAGUAUACAACCAGAAUUCUGUUCAACCAUCUGUGCUACUUACUUCCAGAACCGUCCAGCACUGCAGAUGGAAACCCUGGACCAAUGGGGAGUCACUGCCGUUCUCUCCUCCAUCCAGCCUGAGAACCUGUGAUCUGCUUGCUGCUUCUUGAGGCCUAUUUGGAUAUUUCCUAUGAGUAGAAUGAUAGGAUAUGUGGCCUUUUGUGUCCGGCUUCUUCCACUUAGCAUAAUGUUCUUGAGGUUCACCUGUGUUGUGGCAUGCAGCAGUACUCCGUUCCUUUAGUUCUGUGCAUGGCCACACCACAUUUUUCUUAUUCAUACAUCAGUUGAUGGACAUCUGUGUUGUUUCCGCCUUUGGCUAUUGUGAAUAGUGCUGCUAUGAACACUUGUGUACGAGCUUUUGUUGGUAUCUUUUCUUUUCUUUUUUUUUUUUUUUGAGAUGGGCUCUCACUCUGUCACCCAGGCUGGAGUGCAGUGACACAAUCUCAGCUCACUGCAACCUCUGCCUCCUGGUUCAAGCGAUUCUCCUGCCUCAGCCUCCCGAGUUGCUGGGAUUACAGGUAUCCGCCAUCACACCCGGCUAAUUUUUUGUAUUUUUAGUAGAGACAGGGUUUCACCAUGUUGGCCAGGCUGGUCUCAAACUCCUGACCUCAGGUGAUCUGCCUGCCUCGGCCUCCCAAAGUACUGGGAUUACAGGCAUGAACCACUGUGCCAGGCCUGUGUUUGAUUUGGGGUAUAUGCCUAGGAAUGGGAUUGCUAGAUCCUAUGGUAAUGCUGUGUUUAACUUAUUGAGGAAAUUGCUGGAUUCUUGAGGAUGUGUUUCAGGUCCACCCUCUGUUGUUGCCUUGACCUUGUUACUUGCUCUGUUGGGUGCAAGCUCUGAGGCAUGGGCUAGACACCUUGUGCCAGGUCCUGUUUUCCAUCCUCACAAGCAACCCCAGGUGGUGGGCACUCUUCUUGGUCCUGGUUUUCAGAUGAGGAGAUGCAGGCACAGAGUGGUUAAGCAUCAUACCCAAGGUCACACAGCUUGUGAGUAGAGGGUCUGGGAAUUGAACCCAGACAGGCUGUCCAGAGUGCAGUCUCUCCCCAACACACCCCAUGGUGCCUCAGAGACAGGAGUCCCAUAGACAACAUCCUGGAUGGAGCCUGUAGCCUCCUGAUGGUGGUUGGAGGCUGUGCGCACAGCAUGGAGCCCGAGCCAGCCCCUGGGGAUGAGGGCUGCACCAGGGCCCACUCAGCCACCCUCCACCCUGUGUUCUUUCCUUGCCUUGCCUCCCCUCUGCACUCCUUCCUUGUGCCUCCUCCUCACUCCCCACCAGCCUCACCUCUCUCUCGCUCUCUCUCUUUCUUUCUCUUUUAAUAAAUGGAAAUGGUUUAUGGGCUCUUCUAGAAAUUGCACCUGCCUUCUGGUUAUAACUGGGGAGAGAGAGAGGAAGAGACACAGAGAAGAGACAGAGAGGCCUCCUUCAGCAGAUCUGGGUAUGCCCAUGGGACCUCCUGGCCUGGACAUCCUGGUGGUGCUUUCAGGCCUGCCACAGAAGUGACCCUGAGUUGGCUCUGGCUCUAAUGUCUGAGAGUGCCUUCUUCCCCUCUCCCCCUGUGACUGCCUGCAGGACAGCGCAAUUCCUCUGCCAUUGUGUAAGCAGCCCCCACAGAUGAUACUCCAUGCUAGGGAAUUAACUACUUGUUGAAAAGCACUUGUGUGUUCCCCUGGCUGAGGCUGAAAGUGGGGGAUCCCUGGGGAAGGGGGUGGCCUGGCUAUGGAUGGGGAGAAGGCCCUCUGGGGAAAUGAAGAGGGGAGCCCCAAGCCAGUUCGUCCUGUGGGAGCUGGCCCAGAUUAUGGUUCAUAAUGUAAAUUUGGGAGUAUGCCAGGGCCAUAUUAAUACUGCAUGAGGCAGUAAGGGGACCUUGGGCUUGAAACCCGAGCUGUGGCCUAGAAUGGAACUGAACAGUGGGCCUUGUCUUAAAGGGACAUGACGAGCUCCCAGAAGUAUGUGUCGGCAUUAUUUCCCUCUAAUGCUGUUUACUAUAUUUGUACACAAUGCCCCCAAAGGAUUUGAAAAGGAAAUGGCAAUGUAAUAAGAGAGGUAUUUUUUGUUGCACAUGCGAGCAUGCUCAUUGACUUAAUUAUUGUUUCUUUUGUUACCUUGGUGAAUUAGAGAGGGGGAGAUAUGGAGAGGGAGGAUGGGAAGUUGGAGAGGGGGAAGAGAGAGAGAGAGAGAGGAGAAGGAAACCCAUGUCUACUGUUAUUUUGCUGAAAUCUAUCUCAGCGAGUAGGCAGAUUGAGAAAUCAAGGAUUCAUUCACAGGUAGAAAAAAAUGAAUAACACUUUGAAAGCUCAGAAAAUCAACACAACAGAGAAUUCAGUUUCAAGGUGCCACUUUUGACUCUUCUGCUGCUCUUUGAAUUGAGUUCAUGGCUGUGCUCAUCGUCUCCAUGGAGAAGGGCAAGUCAGUGCCAUUUCUUGUAGGAAUGAUCGGGCCACUAACAUUUGUCUAGAAACCAAGCAACCGAAAAGUGCAAAUAUCUGGAUGCUAUUGGCUUUUGAGAAAGAAAGGAUGUCAGGCAUUUAUUUGAAAGGGUAACCUCCAUCCAGAUAGUGUUGUAGAGCAUUUUCUCAGACAUUAGAAAGAUUCAACUGUGUACAGUAGUUUUAGUGUUGAGUGUUUCAGAAUAUUUUCAUUCUUUCCAAAUUGGGGGUCCACUACAUUAGUUAGAUGCUUUUGAUUACUAAUGAUCAAGAACACUGACUCAAAUUGGCUUAGACAGUAAGGAAAUGUAUCUCCCAUAAGAGAACAGAGUUGGGGGAGGAAAGGCUCCACUAUGGAUGGAUCAGUGGUUCAGUGAUGUGGAUGAGGCCCUGGGCCCUUUCUUUUCUUCACCCUACUGUCCUUAGUGACAGCUUUAUACCAAGUCUGAUUUCUCUCAUGGCCGCAAGAUAGCUGCAGUGGUUCUGGACAUCACAUCUGGACAUGGCAAUGUCCAGAGUCAAGGCAGGGACCAUCUCUUCUGGUGAGGACUUUAUAUAUAGAGAAAAUCUUUCUCCAAAGCCCCCGAUACUUCUCCCAUUUUUCUCAUUGACCAAAACCAGGCCACUUGCCUGGCUCCAAAUCAGUCAGUGUCAAUAGAAUGGGAAUGCCCUGAUGUAAACUAGACAGGACCCACCAGCUGGUGAGGGAAUGGGGUCAGUUUAUCUGAGGUGCAAGACACUGUGGAGAAGGAGUGGGAACCUGGACAAGAUGGGGCCAUGUUAGUAACGAGGAGGAGGGUGACAUCUUUUGCCUCCAUGAAUAGCAAAGGGCAGUUCUCACUUAACUGGGGUGCACAUGGCAUCACAGAAUGCUAGAACUUGGAAGGGAAAUUAGAGACAAUCUUCUUCAAUCCUUUCAUUUUACACAUGAAGAAACUGAGCUCCAGGAAUGAGGAGGAGUUGCCCAAACUCAUGGAUCCACCCUGGGCCCCAGGCACCAGCUGUGUGGGGCCAGUGGGCCGUUGAAGCACUCUAGUCAAUGCCACACAGCCUGGGAGCAGUACCAGAACCCAGGGUGGGAAAAUGUUGGCAGGGCUUCCAGAAACUACUUGUAGGGCCUGUCAUUUUCAUUCAAUAAAUGUAUUGAUCAACCAUUGAGUCUCCAACCCUGCACUUUCUGGGUGGUUAUGAGAAAGAGUAAAGUUAAAGAAGCCUCAAGGCAUCUGGAAGAGAACGGGUUCCAACCUGUAAGGACAUAUUCCAGGCUGGAUGUGCUUUCUCUUCUGGAGAUAAUUCUCAUUUUGGUCUCUUUUUUCAUAUUCUUACUGCCUGAUUCCAAGGACUUACAACAGUGUCUAGAACACAACUGGUAUCCAUAAAUCCAUAUGGAAUUAUAUUAAUUAGAACUGCAUGAGGUCCAGAAAGUAUUGUUUUCAUCUUAUUUUAAUGUGUAUACAUUGGCUACAAAAUUAAGUCAUGGUAGAUAUCGUCCAGAUAAAAUUGUCCAAAGAAAAAUCGAACACGGUACCUUACUGAAAGUGAGCUCAUUUGAGGACUGUGAUCUUGAUGGUUGGGUAUUGACUGGGUUAGGGGGUCAGGCAGUGACAGCGGCUUAGCCUGCUGGUGCUGAGGGAGGCCGGGGAUCAUAUCCGUGCAGGUGAUCCAUGACAGCCCUCGACCCCAGUGUUUAGAGGAAGUGGAUGGGCUCAUAUUAUUUCCUCCUCUUCCCUCCCGCAUAACCCUCUGAGUAGUCUUUAGAGCCUUCUCUUACCAGCUAGGUGGCUCUCAUUGUGCAUGAUGUCAAUUGCAGAAAAUGUGAGUGGGGAGGUAGCUGAUAGAUAAUGAGACCCAGGUCCCUCAGUCCCGAGCUGCCACCCUAAAUAAAGCAAUAAAGCAACCCACAAGCUGCAUCAGUGUGCCUGGUAUUUUCAUUUCUCCUCUAGAAACAGGUUUCUAGGGCUGUCGAGAAUUUGGAACUCAUACCACACAUACCACCAUGCUGAGGUUUCUAAAUUCAGGCUGCGGUUUCUGCAUGUUUUUGAGAGUGUCAGAAACUUCAAAACAUUUGAAGAGUCCCAGAGGAGAAGGGAAUAUUCUUCUUCUUAUUAUUCUGAGAGAGCAUAGUUUGCACAUUCUUGGCUUCUUCAGCAUUUGGAUGCUGGAGCUCUGUUGGUCUGAGGCUGAAGAGCAAACUCUGCCAAAGCUUCUCUUACCGUGGGGAUGGAAAGUUUUCUGUGUCUGUUUUAUUACUUAGGCAUUCCACGUUCUCCUUCGACAUCUCACAUACUCCUGCUGCUUUCCUUUGUGAGUGGAGACCUCGCUUUCUUUAUAGGUGGUAACAGCUGUGUUCUCUAGAGAGUGAAUUUUUGCACCACAACCCCUAUUCUCACAAUAACUUCACUUGGACAUCGAGGAUAAGUUUCCAUGUGAGAAAUAUUGUUUAGUCAUUUAUUUUAAAAAAGCUUUUAAAUUAUUUAAAACAAUUUGUGGGUUACAUAGUAGGUGUGUAGAUUUAUGGAGCCCAUGAGAUGUUUUGAUACAGGCAUGCAAUGUGAAAUAAGCACAUCAUGGAGAGUGAAUAUUCAUCUCCUCAAGCAUUUAUCCUUUGAGUUACAAACAAUCCAGUUACAUUCUUUAAGUUAUUUUAAAAUAUACAAUUAAGUUAUUAUUGACUAUAGUCACCCUAUUAUGUUAUCAGAUAGUAGGUGUUAUUCAUUCUUUCUAUUUUUUUGUAUCCAUUAACCAUCCUGCCUCCCCUCCAAUCCGCCACUCCCCUUCCCAGCCUCUGGUAACUCUCUUUCUACUCUAAUUUGAUUUUUUAGAUCCCACAAAUAUUUUUACUUUUCAAGUUGAACUAUAUAAUAUGAUACUAAAACUUGAACACACCACAAAGUAUAUGCAUAUUCAAAACUGAACACACCCAUGGAACUAACAUCCAAAUCAAGAAACAUAGCUGCUUUACACUUUCUUGAAAUAAGCACUUACCUGGAGAUGCAAAGGCACUUGCGUGCUCUUUCAGUAGCAUUUCUCUUCUCCAGCAUCUUCCCUUGACAUCAGCCUUGCCUGCACAUUGCCCAGUUGGGCAAAUUUCUCUCCCAGGUAGAGGUUACCAGGCUUGCAUUCCCUAUGUUUUAGCUUCUGUCUUGGUCUUUCUGUGUGUUUUUAUACCUCCAUUUGAAGCAAACCCAACACAUGAAAAGCUAUAUUUACCAAUGGGACCAACUAUUGGGGCAGUGUCUACUUACUAUACAUAUUUUUAAAAAACUGUUUCUUUAAAUUGGAGAGCUCCAAGGUGACUGAUGUUAAUAAUUUAUAACUAUUUAUUAAGCACCUACUAUGCGGUUCUGUGGUGUGAUUGCAAGGGGGGGGGGCACGUCCAAGGUUGAGUAAGACAUAGCUUCUGUUCUUAAGGAUGUCCCAGUCUAGAAGUGGAGAUAAGCUAUGCAUGAGCUUGACCAAGAUCUUGCUACAAUGAAAGAUAGCUGGGAAGAGCAUGAGAGAGUUCAGGGGAGGAAAAGACCACUCCCACCUGUGGCAUGGAGGGUCAUUCAGGAGGACUACAUAGAGGAGGGGGCACUUUACAUUGGCACUUAGAGGAAUCUGCCCCUUGAUGGGACCCAAACUUACAUUUAUGAUGUGAAAAAUGGAAAGGAGACUUGUUAUGCUUUAACAGUAGGUGUUGCUAUUUAAUGUAUGAAGCUUACUCAAAUGGAAGAGUUUGGGUUUAUUAAAGGAAAUUAGAGGUCUCUGUGUUAGCAGUUCUGUAUGUUCAAAAUGUGAUACAAUGGGUUUACUUAAACCAUUGGUUGCCCCAAGACCCCUUUCUUGAGGAAUUGGCAGCUUGGCAGAGUUUGCACCUUUGAAGGCUGCCCUGCAAGGAUAAAGACCUCCAUCCAAGGGGAAAGGCCAGAAGCAGGCUCAGAGCUAGGUCCCACAACUCUGCUUCCCUGUAUCCGGCCCCCCUGCCAGCUCACUCAAGCAAGCCCUGUUUCUGGGCAGCAGCAGCUGUGAGGUGUGGGUGAGGGGCUGUUGCUAGGAGCAGGGAUCCAGCUUGCCUUUUCUGACACGUGUGUUUAAAUUAGCAUCUUUAAAUGCUGUUCCCGACAGUUAUUCAAUUUUGAAACUACUGGGGAUUUUGGGGCAGGUGGAGAGUGUUAAGGAGGAGGCGAGGCAAAUGAAAAGGCAAAACAUUUGGGGGAGUUUUUGAAAAAGUUAAAUAAGGAAAAGAGUGUCAGCUGGGGGAAAGCACAUCUCAGGCCCCAUUGCAGGACCCCUUCCCCAGUGGAGUCAUAGAGUCCCCUACUCUGCCCCAAGGUGUUGGAGAUGGCUCAUGGCUCAUGGGAAUGUGCAGGAAGUCCCCUGAGUCUUAUUUAUUUAUUUAUUUAUUUAUUUAUUUUGAGAUGGAGUCUUGCUCUGUCACCCAGGCUGGAGUAGUGCAGUGACAUGAUCUUGGCUCACUGCAACCUCCGCCUCCUGGGUUCAAGUGAUUCUCCUGCCUCAGCCUCCUGAGCAGCUGGGAUUACAGGGACCUGCCACCACGCCUGGCUAAUUUUUGUAUUUUUAGUAGAGAUAGGUUUUGCCAUGUUGGCCAGGCUGGUCUGAAACUCCUGACCUCAGGUGAUCUACCUGCCUCGACCUCCCAAAGUGCUGGGAUUACAGGCAUGAGCCACCGUGCCUGGUCCCUGAGUCCUCUUAGGGUCUCCAGAAAUCACUAUAUCAAGUGAGGUUUGGGGAUGGGCACAUCUAAGUGAUAACCACCCACUAGGCAAAAGGAUCCUGGUGUUGGGAGAUGGGGUGAGAAACUGGGGUGGGUGUCAUUCAUUCAACCGAGUCAUCACUCUCAAGGGACCAGAUGGAGAAAGGGAAUAUAAUAAGAAAAAUGAUGAUGCUUAAAAUAAAUAUUGAUAAUGCCCACAUUUUCAGGGAACUUCUAUGUGCCUUAGAUAUUUAUUUAUCCAAGAGCCUCACUUCUUUUUACUUGUCCGAUCCUUACAGCAGAUCUCCAAAGAGGUUCUCUGUUAUCCAUGGUUUACAGAUGAGGAAACUGAGGCACAGAGAGGCAGUUAAAUCACUUGCCCCAAACCACUGAAGCCAUAAUUGGCGGAUCUGGGAUUGAAGCCCAAGCUUCCGGGCACUAGUGUGUGGGCCUCUAAUCUUGCACUUUGCUGCCACCAGAAAUUAGGCACCAGGAUGGUAACUGAGGAAACCAGACAAGAGUGAGAAUGUAGGGGUGGAGGAUGGAAGAUGGGUAUCAGGGAGGUUUUCUGAGUUGAAGACAGUCUGUCCUGUGGCUUCUUAAAGGUUGCUUUCAGAUGAGGGUGACACAAAGGUGUCCCCCUGUCCUGGACAUGAUUUAGAACCCUAUCCACAGAGAACAUGCCAAAUUUUAUGCACCUCAGGGCCUUUGCACAUGCUGUUUUCUUUGGCUGGAAUCACUGUUCUCCCUGCUUUGUGUGUUAUGGUUCUUUCUCAUCUGUCACACUUAGUUUAAAGCUGCCUCCUGCAGAGGCUGACACGUCGUAGCAGUUGCUCCAUGAAAGUGUUGAGUAAAUGGAUGAAGAAUAAAGCUCUUGGCCUUUCAGGGAAUAACUAUAAUGAGAAAUUUGGAAGAUCUUUCUGCAGCUGAGCCUUUGGAAUUUUGAUGUCUUCCAAAAGCUGGGGUUGUUAGGAGAAGAGGUACCAAAGUGGGGCUUCAUCUGUAAAGACCCAGCUGGAGCUCUUGUUCACGCCUUUCCCUGAGGCUGGAAGGUCUCUUGGAUGUCACAGGCUGCCUCUUUAAAAUGGAGACAGUGGUGGACUUUCCUCUCUGUUGAGGAUGGGAAUGAGGAUGAGGGAGCAGGCUUGGGGUGAGCCUACCAUCCAGGGGCAGUGAACUUUAUAUGGCGUGGGAUGACCAGUGGCCUCCCCUGGGGUGGCUGCUGGAUAUUGGCUGAUGGAUGGUAGAGGAAACACUAUUCUCAUCUCAAUUCCUGGAUUGGUGUGGGGGCCAAAUGAGAUCCCAUCAUUCCUAAUUAAGAUGUAGUUACAUUAAUGAUAAAGACAACAAUGGCAGCUAAUACUUAGAGAGUGCUGCUACCUGCUGGUCACUGUGCCAAGCCCUUUAGUGUGCCUUAUCCUUGAGUCCUCACCAGCCCCUAUGUGCAGGAACCUGCUGAGAUGAAGUGACUUGCCCGGGCCACACACCUGGUAAAGUUGGAAACCAACUGGAGCCAGCCCCAGACCUCACAUUGCAUACCCCAGACCUCACACUGGAUACCCUCACACUGCACACCCUCACACUGCAUACCCUCACACCACAUAUCCCAGACCUCACACUGCACACCCCAGACCUCACACUGCAUACCCUCACACUGCAUACCCCAGACCUCACACUGCACACCCUCACACUGCAUACCCCAGCCCUCACACUGCAUAUGCCAGACCUCACACUGCACACCCUCACACUGCAUACCCCGGACCUCACACUGCACACCCUCACACUGCAUACUCCAGACCUCACACUGCACACCCUCACACUGCACACCCUCACACUGCACACCCUCACACUGCAUACCCCAGCCCUCACACUGCAUAUGCCAGACCUCACACUGCACACCCUCACACUGCAUACCCCAGACCUCACACUGCAUACCCUCACGCUGCAUACUGCACACCUCACACUGCAUACCCUCACACUGCACUGCAUACUGCAGACCUCAUGUAUACCCUCACACUGCAUACUCUCACACUGCAUACCCUCAAACAAGGCCCUUUUCUGACUGUCACUUGCACCAAACAGAAUGCAGAAGUUUUCUAACUUGAACCUUUGAAAAUUUUUUCUGUUCUGUGUUUCACGAAGGGAUGUGUUAAUUGUUGAGGUAAUUGCAGAGUUCCCUGGCUUUAUAAUCACUCAUGUUAUUUAUUGUUCUUGUUAUUAUUAGUAAAAGCCAUAGUAAUUCAGCCUUUGGGUUGGAAUGGCAGCAGGAGCCAGCUGAGUGACCUUGGCCGUGAUAUUAAUACUCUUUACAGUCUUCCCUCGAUUAUCCAGGCUAAUGGAAAGAGAACCAGUGCCCGCAAAUAAUCAUAAAACAAAAAAAAAAUCAAUUAUCUUCUCAGUGGAGUGUUGACUGACACGUGGGUCCUACGCCUUUUAUGAGGCUGGCCUUCAAACACAGCUGCAUCUUUGGUGAUAUUUCAGAAAGCGUGAGGUGGGAAAUAAUCCCUGUUUUGCAAGUCAAGGAUGGAGAAGGAGCCUUUCAUCUCUGGAUAGAGAUGGUGUGUGGAUAUCACCAGCUGCCAAUGGAGGGGUCAGUGCUGUUAUUCUCUUUCCUAAAGCAACUCGGGGGUGAUGGAGAAGGUUGCCUUAAUCCCCUCUGAGCAUUUCACUGGCUGAUGUGGACUCAUGGAAAAUGUCAGCGUGCUGGCCCAGGCCAGGCGGGCUGAAGCCAGUGUGUCUUACAGCUCUGUGGAGCAGACGUGGUGUGUGGCUUGAAUGGAAAGGUCAUAAAGGCCUGGGACAAGUGAGUGGACGGAGCCAAUGGCACUGUCUGGUAACACUAUAUGGAAGAUGAAAUUGUAGUGUGGAGCUGAGAGGUGCAGGGCUGGGGAAAGAGACCUCAGCAUUUUCCAUGAUUAACUUUCUAAUAGUAACCAUGCGUGGACAGUGGGUGCUGGGCAGCAGGGAGACAGUCUUCUCCAAGCGUGCAUUCAUACAGUGCAGGCGGCUUCCCACUAUCUUUGGGUUUUCUCCAUUUUGUCUGAGGCAGGGAUCAGAACAUAGACCUAUUGUCUUUGAUGGCAAAGUGAGGAGGCAGCCAACUUCAUGUCCUCCUAAUUGACUCAUUUCCUCCCCGCUGGAGUCCCCAAAGCAUAGGUGACCAAGAGCUCCCUCUCAGCUCUAAGUCAUGAAGAAACGGAUGCUUAGAGAGGUUACCCAGAAGCUGGGGACAGAGCUGGCACCACACCCAGGCCUCCUCCCUUCCAGUCCUGUGCUUGGGCAGGCAGCCUGUGGGCUUCUUCCUUCGGCCCUGUCCCCUUCCCUCAGUACUAACACGUGCUCCUAGAUUUCUGAGCAGCCCCUAGAGAGAAGUGACGGAUUCAUACUAGAGUGUUCAUGACUUCAUGUAUCACUUGCCUGAGAGUAUUUUUAAAUGGAUGCUGGGGGAGGGCAUUGCUUAACCCAAAGGAACAAGAAGUGGACUAUGAAAUUUCAGUCCCAGGGCCUGCCAUGUGUUGGCCUGUUCUGGGUGCUGAAGAUAUAGUGGUCAGCAAGACACACAUCCUCUCUCCUUUGAGACCUCAUAUUUCACUGGGGGAGGCAGAAACAUAGUAAAUAAAUAAUAAACUAACUUCAGAUAAUGAGAACUGGUUUUAGAAUAUGAAACAGGCUAAGGGGAUAGUGAUGUGAGUGCAAUGGGGAACCUGUUUUAUGUAGUUGGCCAGGGAGGGUCUUUCUAAGGAAGUGGCCAAUGAGUGGAACAAGAUCAACUUGCCUGGAAAAGGAAACUAUGGGGGAUCUUUGAGGGAACAGUACUUCAGGUGUGUGGAACAGCAGCUGUGAAGCCUCUGGGGAGGGAACGAGGCUGGCUGCUGGAGAGUUUCCUUGGCUACCCUGAUUAACGGCCCCUCUUCCUGCCUCCCUUCCCUAUUUUAUUAUUUUCUCUGGGGCAUUUGUCACCAUCUUAUAUUUGUCUUAACACACCUUAUAUUUCUCUUAUCAGUUUGGCUUAUCGCCUGUUUCCUCAACUACAAUGUCUGUUGCAUGGAGGCAGUACUUUACCUGUGUUUUUCAGUUCUACACCCUAGGAAUGUGCCUGGGAAAUAGUGGUGCUUGAUACCUCCUUGUUGAAUGGGGAAAUGAACAAAUGCAUGGACUCAGCAAGCAAGGCAGACGGUGGGAGGAGAUGUGACCAGGAAGAUGGGCAGGAGUCGGAGGGGGAGAGGCUGAGAACACGGGCCCUUCAGUGUCUGUGUCCUUGUCUCACUGCUGCUGGGAGGGGCUGGCAGAAACUGGCCUUCUUGCCCCAUGAGCCCCAACUCAGCAGAACCACCCAGCAGGUCUUAGCAUCCCCAGCCUGGCUGCUCCCAGUGGAUGCAAUGCUCAUUAACCAUGGAGCUGGUAAUAACACGCCCAUGUCCUGCACUGCACUGGUGCCUCAAAUCUAUGUGUUCAGCCUUGGUGUAAAAUCACUAGGAGCCAGGGACAGAGGGAUUCCAGGGACCCCACGCCCAGGGGGCCUGAGAGGCUCAUCCUUCGUGUCAGCUUGUGUUUUCCAGGGGUGGUUUUGCCUGCCCGGUUACUGCUGUGGAAUUGCCUCUGGCCCAUUUAUGGUGGAGGCCUGGGUUCCGGUGACACUGCUUUCUUUCUGUACACCUUGAAUGAGGUCAGGCAGCUCUUCAUAGAGGGAGGAACUCUUCCUGGAGUGCCAAGGGUAGGGUCUGCCUAGUCCCAGUCUCUCCAGCCUGAGUUUGCAUCAGGGAGAAAAAGCACCAGCACCUUUUUCACCAAUGCGCCCUUCCCCACAUUCACACACGCAUGUUCACAUGCAUGCACAUGUAUGCAGGCCGGCUUCCCCUCACCUUUUGUUUUUUUUUUUUUU